rnacentral:tRNA from 1 species
UGCGCCACCUGGACCAGGAGUUCUCGCAAAUUGGGAGUUUGCGCAUCCAGCGCCAGCAGUUCCUCACCCGCCAUGGCGGGA